AUUGAACGCUGGCGGCAGGCCUAACACAUGCAAGUCGAACGAGUGGCGGACGGGUGAGUAAUGUCUGGGAAACUGCCCGAUGGAGGGGGAUAACUACUGGAAACGGUAGCUAAUACCGCAUACCAUCGGAUGUGCCCAGAUGGGAUUGGCUAGUAGGUGGGGUAACGGCUCACCUAGGCGACGAUCCCUAGCUGGUCUGAGAGGAUGACCAGCCAGACUGGAACUGAUACACGGUCCAGAUUCCUCCGUGAGGCAGCAGUGGGGAAUAUUGCACAAUGGGCGCAAGCCUGAUGCAGCCAUGCCGCGUGUGGGAAGAAGGCCUUCGGGUUGUAAAGCACUUUCAGCGGGGAGGCGUUACCCGCAGAAGAAGCACCGGCUAACUCCGUGCCAGCAGCCGCGGUAAUUC
rnacentral:rRNA from 1 species